AUAAAAAAAUCUCUCUCUAGUUUGAUAGAGAGAGAAAAUCCUCUCAACUCUCUUCGUCAUUUUUUAUCUCUUCUCGGGUUAACAGAGCGUAUUUUCUGGUUGGUUUCCCCUGUUCUUCGAGACAGGGGAAGAUGGUGUAUCCGGCUUAUCAGUGGCUUCCCUCUCACCUCGGGUUGGUUGUAUAGUUUUGGUUUUGUUUUGUUGAUAGCAGAACUUGGAUCUUCAUGGAGAGGGUGAUUUGUUGAUGUUCUGCAGGUAAGAAGAUGAAUUUGCAACAUGUGUUGGUUUUAUCUUGGGUCUAGUUAUUAUGCUCUGCUUGAAGGGAGGGAUAAUCAUAAGGGGCAUUUGCAACUCCGGGGAUUUAUGCUUUUUCUUCUCUUAUGGAAGCUCGCUCUUAAGGCUAUAUGAGAUUGAGAGGCCAGUGAGCUCUGGUGCGUCACCUUCCUGGAGAGGUUGAGCUGUGCUUUUAAUGUCGGGUGGUGGAGCCUUGGAAAUCUGAUGCUGUUUAAGCUUCUAUGUUUUUCUGGGUGGCCUUUGGUUGUUCAGAUGUUUCAUCAGAGCUUUGGUUGGGGAUGAAAAAAUGUUUCUCCUCCCAUUUUCCAAAUUGGAGAUCAAGCUUGUUGUGGUAGAUGGACAGCUUUCUUGGUCCUGUUCCCUUUUCUGUUUGUUUAGGGUUCUUAGACUUGGGGUGAGCUACCAUGGUGUGGACUUAUUUUAUUGUAGGGCUUGAUUUGUGGGUCUCUAAUUUCUCUUCUACUGUGUUGUAAUUGGACUCGGUUUAUAAGUUUGCCUUAUUGGCCUUGAAAUGCAAGAGUCAAG
rnacentral:misc_RNA from 1 species